ACAUUGUUAUGCAAUGGAACACUAGAAUUUAUUCCUCCUAUAUUACUGGAACUUUGUAUGUUUUGACCAACCUUUCCCCAUCCACCCUACCCUCAACCCUUCAAAGCUUCCAGUAAAACAACUAUGCUGCUCUCCACUUCGAUGAGAUCAACUUUUUAAAAUUUUACAUGCGAAGCUACAUCUGAUUCCAGUGGGGCUUUGUUAAUGCGAUCCUUUCUCACUGUACCUGUUGCCUGAUGUUCCAUUGAACUGAGCUUAUCAAGAAGUGCAAUACUGGUGAAAAAGUUAUCGAAUACAAAAUGAUAUUGUCCAGGGUGUGUGUAAGUCCCUCACUAAACUUAUGAAUAAGUGAUGCACCAACACCGUAUUCUUCAUAUUUAGUAUUUGGGUUUUUACCCUGAUACGGCUGAAAGCAGCAAAUGUGGCACAGACAUGUGGCACCACAACAAAACUUACAGCCAAACAUAAUGGGCUUUCCCUGAAUAAAUUGUUUGCACCUGUGACAACCAGAAUAAGGAACCAUGGAUUCAUUAAAGCUGAAAUAUGUCUCAUUUGGAACAAAUUUCAUACAUCUCUCAUUACGUUUGCUUAUGAGAAGUCGCAACUUGGAAAAUUUGUCCAUUGGAUCCAAAUUUGCAUCGUCAGCAACAUGCAAAUUAGAAAAUUUAGUUUCAAAGCGGUCACGUCUCAUGGCAGCAAUAACCAGUACAUUAUGCGCAUCUGGUUUGUUGUUGUUGUUGUUCCCAAAACAUACGGCUUCUAGGAACUGAGAUGUAACCACUCAGAAAAAUAAUUCCCAGAAAAUAUUUGAAUUCGGAGCUAGUCAAGCCAAGAUGUACACCCUUAACUUCGAGCCUGUAAGUUGGAGUACUUGACAAUGAGUUCAACGACUUCGUCAUCAUGAAAAAGUUCCAGAAUUUCUGUGGGAGUUCUCAUUUCGGUGAAUAAAUCGUUUGGUGGUUCUGUAAUUCUACCUGCUACAAGUUGUGCAGUUAGGUCCCUCUCUUCCAUUUGCAAACAAUUUUUGUCACUUUCCUCCUCCUUGAUGGUGGAAGUUGCUGCGCGGUAGACGUAGAUGGAUCUUCGUCAGGAGAGUCAAAUUUAAGUGCGUAUGAGGGAUCAUCAGAGUUAGACUCUGCAUCAGAAUCACCUUUAUAAGAUUUGCAGUUGCGCGCAACAAAGAACCUGGCAGAUUUUUUAUUGUUCCACCUUCUUCGUCCCCGGAGUCCUCAUCAGAAACAGUUUCAGAAAUAUCAGAUUAAGAAAGCUGCUCUGCCAUGAAGGUGAUACUCUCUCCAGUAUACUCUUUGAUUGGGCCAAGAAAAAUUGGGAGAAGAAAAGGACAUAACAGCACUCAUAAAAAAAUUCUAAGAUCAGUAGGCCAGGAAGCUAUGCAAGGGAGGCAGACUAAGGGCAAACUUUCAGUAUAAGGAAAACACGUGAUAUUUGGCCAGUAGGAUUUCAGAAUUUCUAUGGCCCUGUGACUGCUGGGCACUUCCCUUUCUUUCCCCUUUGCAAUCCAAACUGUUACUGGGGUUUAUUCUGUUCCAGUUUUAUAUGUUCUCUAUGGCUUUGUGUGUGGUGGGUGUCAUGGUGGGAUACUCACUGUUUUAGCAUACAAGUCUCUGAAUCAAAAGACACUAUAUAAAGACAUAAAGUAGAAUAUAUCAAGAAAUUCUGGAUCUUGAGUUGAUGCCACAAUCGAUUGAAAUUUUUGUUGUCGUUGUUCUUGUUUUUGGUUUUUUGAGACAAGAUCUUGCUCUAUCACCCAGGCUGGAGUGCAGUGGCGCAAUCUCGGCUCACUGAAACUUCUGCUUCCUGAGCUCAAGCGAUUCUCAUGCCUCAGCCUCCCAAGUAACCAGGAUUAUAGGAGUUCACCACCACGUCUGGCACAUUUUUUUUUUUUUUUGUAUUUUCAAUAGAGACAGUGUUUCACCAUGAUAGCCAGACUGGUCUCGAACGCUUGACCUCAAGUGAUCAGCCCACUUCGGCCUCCCAAAGUGCUGGGAUUACAGGGGUGAGCCACCGUGCCAGGCCGGACGGAAAUAUUGAGUGCUCCUUGGAAAGAAUGGUAGUGUGUUUCUCGUACAAAAAGCAAAUAAGUAAAUAUUUUUGACCAGUAAUAAAAUUUCUUAUUACUUUCCAUUAUUAUUUCUCAUUUAUGUUUGCUUUUUGUAAGGUCUUACACACAUACAUAUACAUAUAUACAUAUAUAAUGUAUUCA
rnacentral:lncRNA from 1 species